UGUGGGAGCGGGCUUGCCUGCGAUAGCGGUGUGCCAGCCGACACUUAUAUUGACUGAUCCAUCGCUAUCGCGGGCAAGCCCGCUCCCAAA
rnacentral:misc_RNA from 1 species